rnacentral:lncRNA from 1 species
AUAACUUGCUUGGGGCCCUUGGGGAGUCCAUCUUCCUCUCUGAAGAAAGAUCCAGAGAGUUCGGGAGUUCUGAGUCUGGCUAGGCCUCUUCUUUCUCCAGCGUGGGAGUCUGCUCCCAGGGUCAUCCUGGAAGAACUCAGGAAGGACAGGGUGGGCCAGCCUAAUCCAGUGAUCUCAGAUACUUGUCCAUGCAGCAGUUCACACUGCAGUCACCUGAAGGCUCCACCCAGCAAGAUGUAUAAUGAGACACUCAACAUAACCACCAGAGAACACCUAUUGGAAGUGGGGUGCCAUUAUACCUCUGCCCGCCCAUCAGAAAGGCACAAUGAAGAUGGGAGUGUGCCAGGUUGGUAAACUAUGGAUAUAACCAAUAGAACCACUUUGCCGACUCUUGAGACAGCCCCAACAAAAGCUGGAUACGAACACCCUACAAUCUAGUCCUGGACCCAGCCAACAGACAGAUGGAAUACUCUAAAGCAAUGAAAAAGGCAAACAAACGGCUGUGUGCAAAAUACACGUGAGCGUCCUAAAGACAGCGGAGAACGGAGGAGACCGGAGACAAAGGGCACAGAUUGGGACUCUGUUCCGAAUGACGUUCCAAACCAGGCAAAGGCAGCUUCACUGCCUGGAAGCAGGACUGGGGGUACUGGAAGGGAGUGUUGGCGCUUCUGGGGUGCUGGUCUUUCUUACAUUGGUUGCUGGUUCCAAUGGGUGUGGCACUUUAACACAGUUCCGAGUGCUGUGCUGACCUCCAACCAUAAAAUUAUUUUUGUUGCUAGUUCAUAACUGUAAUUUUGCUAUUGUUAUGGAUCCUAAUGUAAAUAUCUGAUAU